AGCUCUCUCUCUCUGUCAGUCUCAUUUCAGUUCCCCCAAAUUCAAAACCCUAAAUCAAAUUAUGCUGGCGGCCGUAUGUUCUGAAGUUGCAGAACAACAAUCGAGAUGGAGUCCUUUUUUUGGGUGGGAAUCAGGUGGAGAAGGAACUACAAUCAUCUUUAAAUCUCAACAGCAAAAUGGUAUCUCCUCUCGAAACAAAAUAAAGCCGCUUCAUAUCUUCCUCCUUCUUGGUCUCAACCUGGACUUUUUGUAGCUUUACAUGAUCGAUUUACAGAUCUCAUAGGUGACAUCAACAACUUUAUGCCAAAUGAAAGGGGAGCUUUUUAUUAGGUUUAUCGUUAUUGGCUUUGGAAUUCUAGAUCUGCACAUGAGUAUGAACCACUAGGCUACAGCAAGGAGAAAAUCAAUCUUUAAAAGGGUUACAAAAUGAAAUUUCUUGCAGCAAAAUUUGAUGGCCGGGUGAUGUUGCUAGUAUGGUUCAUACGGAAUUGACAGAUAAUAUGUUAAUUGAACCUAAUAGCAAGGACGUACACAUCCCAGAUAUCAAUAACCUACGGGAGCCUUCAGCAAAUGACACAGACGAGAAGAAGAAUGUUUGUUUCGAUUCCACGUUGGAGUCAGUUAUUGCAGUUGAACACCAAUAGCUUUAGAGACAGAAGGGAGCUUGGGAGAUGGUCUAGUUUUUCUUAAACAAGGUGCUGUAAUUACAUUACUUAUAGAUGUUGUUGAGGUUGACAGUGAGGAUGAAAGGGAGAAAACCGCAAUACAUACUUGUAGUGCCAAAGUCAAAGAACUACAGAAUGUAUCAACUAAUCAAGCUUUGAAUGCACCCGUAAAGUGUUUGAAGAGGCCAUUGUCAGUUCAAAGAAAUGUGAAGCCAGCUCUGAAAAAGUCUUAUGAACCCCAUGGUCCCGAUUGCUGUCCUCUCAAAAAGAUUUAGGCUUCUGAAUCCAAAUUUGGCGGAAGUGUCAGUCAAAAAGAUGACCAGAAUCUGAAUGGGUUUUUUGGUCUAUAAUGAUGAAUACAUCUAUGAAAAAGAGAAAACCGUAGCUCCGUUACAAAGUCCUGGUCCGUACAAUCACUACGAAUUCCCCAACAACUUGACCAUCACAGGAAUGGAGGAAUGAACCUCACACGUAUAGUAGAACCAUAAUCGCGUUAUGAUUUCUCCUCUCAAAAACAAAAUCGAAGAAAAGGCUGCCAAUUUGAAGCGAUGACUCAUGACUGUCAGUACGUAGCUUAUGAAGAAACAUUGUUUCUAUGUGUUGAAUGCGGUAAGAAACUCCCAUGGUUUAAGAAACCACGCAUUCUCUUAAUGAUGAAGGUGUACUUGAAUGGGAUGUUGUCGGUCAAACCAUAGAUAGAGCUAAGAUGAUGCUGCGGAAGAGGCUGAAUCAAAGAAAGCAUGUGAGUUGGAGUACCACGCGAUUGCAGGUUUUAUGCGUGUAGAUGAAGAUGAAGUUGAACAUUACACGGUGUCGUCACCAGCACCAAUGUAAGAGGUGAGUGAAAUGUUAACACACUUAUUUUGUACAAAUUAUGUUUCAAAAAUAUGUUAACAAUAAUCUCAUCAGAGGCACAACUUAUUAUGCUAAAUGUAUACCAACUUUGUUUCGAAAAGAUGCACAAGCCCAUCUUUUUAAACCGGAGAAGAGUUUGAUUGUAAACACUUGAGGGGCUUUUUUCCCCAUGAUAUUAUUCUGUCUACUAUCUCUUUAAUGCCUUAUUCACUGUUUAAA